rnacentral:tRNA from 1 species
ACUGGGGAGGCUCAGUCAGUUGAGCAUCUGACUUCAGCUCAGGUCAUGAUCUCCCACCUUGUGGGUUCGAGCCCCGCCUCGAGCC